AAAGUUUGAAUAAAAAAAUGUUAAUUUUUUUAAAAAGAAUUAUAAUAACUAUAUUUAAGAAUUAAUCUUCAAUUAAAAAUAAAAAAAUUUUUUAUUAAAAUAUCUUUCAAAUAAAAUUAUAUUUAAAAUUACUUAGAAAUUAAUUAUGUUAAAAUUAGUAUAAAAUAUUAUGUUAAUUUAAGGAACUCGGCUUUCAUCUGUUUAUCAAAAACAUAGUCUUAUGAAAAUAUAAGGUGUAACCUGCCCACUGGUUUUAAAUGGCCGCAGUACUUUGACUGUGCUAAGGUAGCAUAAUAAAUUGACUUUUAAUUGGGGCCUUGAAUGAAAGGAUUAAUGGAUAAUUUCUGUCUUUAAUAAAUAAAUUUAAAUUUACUUAAAAGGUGAAAAUUCCUUUAAUUUAAUAUAAUAGACGAGAAGACCCUAGGAGUUAUUUUGUUGGGGCGACAAUAUAGCAUAACCUAUAUAUUUUUAAUAACGAAAAAUUUUAAUAAUAAUUUAACUACCCUAGGGAUAACAGCAUAAUUUUAAUUAAAGUUUGUGACCUCGAUGUUGGACUAGGAACUUUUAAAGCUAACAGCGUUAA
rnacentral:rRNA from 1 species